rnacentral:rRNA from 1 species
GGCGCGUAGGCGGUCGGCCAAGCGUGCGGUGAAAGCCCGGGGCUCAACCCCGGGUCGGCCGUGCGAACUGGCUGACUGGAGCACUGUAGAGGCGGGUGGAAUUCCGGGUGUAGCGGUGGAAUGCGUAGAGAUCCGGAAGAACACCGGUGGCGAAGGCGGCCCGCUGGGCAGUGGCUGACGCUGAGGCGCGACAGCGUAGGGAGCAAACAGGAUUAGAUACCCUGGUAGUCCACGCCGUAAACGAUGGGCACUAGGUGCCUGGGGGAGCGACCCCCCGGGUGCCGGCGCUAACGCAUUAAGUGCCCCGCCUGGGGAGUACGGCCGCAAGGCUGAAACUCAAAGGAAUUGACGGGGGCCCGCACAAGCGGUGGAGCAUGUGGUUUAAUUCGACGCAACGCGAAGAACCUUACCUGGGCUUGACAUGCGCGGGAAAGCCGCCCGAAACGGCGGCCCCUCUUCGGAGUCCGCGCACAGGUGCUGCAUGGCUGUCGUCAGCUCGUGUCGUGAGAUGUUGGGUUAAGUCCCGCAACGAGCGCAACCCUCGGCCCUAGUUACCAGCAAAUAAAGCCGGACACUCUAGGACGACUGCCGGUGCCAAACCGGAGGAAGGUGGGGAC